UACGUAGGGAGCAAGCGUUGUUCGGAUUUACUGGGCGUAAAGGGCGCGUAGGCGGCGCGGUAAGUCACUUGUGAAAUCUCUGAGCUUAACUCAGAACGGCCAAGUGAUACUGCAGUGCUAGAGUGCAGAAGGGGCAAUCGGAAUUCUUGGUGUAGCGGUGAAAUGCGUAGAUAUCAAGAGGAACACCUGAGGUGAAGACGGGUUGCUAGGCUGACACUGACGCUGAGGCGCGAAAGCUAGGGGAGCAAACAGG
rnacentral:rRNA from 1 species